CCUAACACAUGCAAGUCGAACGGUAACAGGAAGAAGCUUCGCUUCUUUCGCUGACGAGUGGCGGACGGGUGAGUAAUGUCUGGGAAACUGCCUGAUGGAGGGGGAUAACUACUGGAAACGGUAGCUAAUACCGCAUAACGUCGCAAGACCAAAGAGGGGGACCUUCGGGCCUCUUGCCAUCGGAUGUGCCCAGAUGGGAUUAGCUAGUAGGUGGGGUAACGGCUCACCUAGGCGACGAUCCCUAGCUGGUCUGAGAGGAUGACCAGCCACACUGGAACUGAGACACGGUCCAGACUCCUACGGGAG
rnacentral:rRNA from 1 species